rnacentral:rRNA from 1 species
CGUAACACGUAUGCAACUUACCUUAAACUGGGGGAUAGCCCGUGGAAACAUGGAUUAAUACCCCAUAGUAUAAUGAACAAGCAUUUGUUUAUUAUUAAAGUUCCGGCGGUUUAAGAUGGGCAUGCGCGUCAUUAGCUAGAUGGUAAGGUAACGGCUUACCAUGGCUACGAUGACUAGGGGGUCUGAGAGGAUUUCCCCACACACUGGUACUGAGACACGGACCAGACUCC